UGGCUCAGAUUGAACGCUGGCGGCAUGCUUUACACAUGCAAGUCGAACGGCAGCGGGGGCUUCGGCCCGCCGGCGAGUGGCGAACGGGUGAGUAAUGCAUCGGAACAUGCCCAGUCGUGGGGGAUAACUACUCGAAAGAGUAGCUAAUACCGCAUACGUCCUGAGGGAGAAAGCGGGGGAUCUUCGGACCUCGUGCGAUUGGAGUGGCCGAUGUCGGAUUAGCUAGUAGGUGGGGUAAAGGCCCACCUAGGCGACGAUCCGUAGCUGGUCUGAGAGGAUGAUCAGCCACACUGGGACUGAGACACGGCCCAGACUCCUACGGGAGGCAGCAGUGGGGAAUUUUGGACAAUGGGCGCAAGCCUGAUCCAGCCAUGCCGCGUGAGUGAAGAAGGCCUUCGGGUUGUAAAGCUCUUUCAGUCGGGAAGAAAAGGCGGGCUCUAACAUAGCCCGUUGCUGACGGUACCGACAGAAGAAGCACCGGCUAACUACGUGCCAGCAGCCGCGGUAAG
rnacentral:rRNA from 1 species